GGAGCAGAGUGACAGGUGGUGCAUGGUUGUCGUCAGCUCGUGUCGUGAGAUGUUGGGUUAAGUCCCGCAACGAGCGCAACCCUUGAUCUUAGUUGCCAUCAUUAAGUUGGGCACUCUAAGGUGACUGCCGGUGACAAACCGGAGGAAGGUGGGGUAUGACGUCAAAUCAUCAUGCCCCUUAUGACCUGGGCUACACUACGUGCUACAAUGGACGGUACAAAGAGCUGCAAGACCGCGAGGUGGAGCUAAUCUCAUAAAACCGUUCUCAGUUCGGAUUGUAGGCUGCAACUCGCCUACAUGAAGCUGGAAUCGCUAGUAAUCGCGGAUCAGCUAUGCCGCGGUGAAUACGUUCCCGGGCCUUGUACACACCGCCCGUCUACUACCACGAGAGUUUGUAACACCCGAAGUCGGUGGGGUAACCUUUAUGGAGCCAGCCGCCUAAGGUGGGACAGAUGAUUGGGGUGAAGUCGUAACAAGGUAGCCGUAUCGGAAGGUGCGGCUGGAUCACCUCCUUAGAGUUUGAUUC
rnacentral:rRNA from 1 species